AAAGAUUCUUAGAUCGUUGGCCCUUGAACCUUCGGGGUGCACGCUUCGGCAGGGA
rnacentral:sRNA from 1 species